rnacentral:rRNA from 2 species
CGGCGAGUGGCGAACGGGUGAGUAAUACAUCGGAACGUGUCCUGUAGUGGGGGAUAGCCCGGCGAAAGCCGGAUUAAUACCGCAUACGAUCUACGGAUGAAAGCGGGGGAUCGCAAGACCUCGCGCUAUAGGGGCGGCCGAUGGCGGAUUAGCUAGUUGGUGGGGUAAAGGCCCACCAAGGCGACGAUCCGUAGCUGGUCUGAGAGGACGACCAGCCACACUGGGACUGAGACACGGCCCAGACUCCUACGGGAGGCAGCAGUGGGGAAUUUUGGACAAUGGGCGCAAGCCUGAUCCAGCAAUGCCGCGUGUGUGAAGAAGGCCUUCGGGUUGUAAAGCACUUUUGUCCGGAAAGAAAUCCUCUGGGUUAAUACCCCGGGGGGAUGACGGUACCGGAAGAAUAAGCACCGGCUAACUACGUGCCAGCAGCCGCGGUAAUACGUAGGGUGCGAGCGUUAAUCGGAAUUACUGGGCGUAAAGCGUGCGCAGGCGGUGAUGUAAGACCGAUGUGAAAUCCCCGGGCUUAACCUGGGAACUGCAUUGGUGACUGCAUCGCUGGAGUAUGGCAGAGGGGGGUAGAAUCCACGUGUAGCAGUGAAAUGCGUAGAGAUGUGGAGGAAUACCGAUGGCGAAGGCAGCCCCCUGGGCCCAUACUGACGCUCAUGCACGAAAGCGUGGGGAGCAAACAGGAUU